rnacentral:snoRNA from 1 species
ACUCCUGUUCUUGGCAGGCCUUGGCCGUCCCGUGCCUGGGUCUGUGAUGUCCGGAGGUAGAGCAGUGACUUUCAUGGGCACCC